UGGGGCAUAUUGGACAAUGGGCGAAAGCCUGAUCCAGCCAUGCCGCGUGUGUGAAGAAGGUCUUCGGAUUGUAAAGCACUUUAAGUUGGGAGGAAGGGCAUUAACCUAAUACGUUAGUGUUUUGACGUUACCGACAGAAUAAGCACCGGCUAACUCUGUGCCAGCAGCCGCGGUAAUACAGAGGGUGCAAGCGUUAAUCGGAAUUACUGGGCGUAAAGCGCGCGUAGGUGGUCUGUUAAGUUGGAUGUGAAAUCCCCGGGCUCAACCUGGGAACUGCAUUCAAAACUGACUGACUAGAGUAUGGUAGAGGGUGGUGGAAUUUCCUGUGUAGCGGUGAAAUGCGUAGAUAUAGGAAGGAACACCAGUGGCGAAGGCGACCACCUGGACUAAUACUGACACUGAGGUGCGAAAGCGUGGGGAGCAAACA
rnacentral:rRNA from 1 species